CCCAGAUGCUCCACCACAGUAUUGCUAGUCUUAAUGUUAAGAAUGUGAAAUGGAUUGCCCAAUUAAAUGUAUAGGAACUGGGUUUUUUGUUGUUUUUAAUCUUUAUUUAUUUAUUUAUUUAUUUAAUGUGAGUACACUGUCACUGUUUUCAGACACAUCAGAAGAGGUUAGAUAUCGGAUCCCACUACAGAUGGUUGUAAGCCACUAUGUGGUUGCUGGGAAUUGAAUUCAGGACAUCUGGAAAAGUAGUCAGUGCUCCUAAGCUGUGAGUCACCUAUCUAGCUCAGGAACUGAGUUUUAACACAUAUCCCUUCAUGCUUUCUUCUGAUGAGACUAGAAAUUGUCUCUGAAACCCAACAUCCCUUGAAGUACAUUAUGUGAGAUAGAAUAGUGAGGUGUGCAAGAAUUGGGACUCUGUAGAAGACAUAGAGUAAAUUCAACUCUUUUAUUUGAUGAUUCUCUCUCACAUCCCCACAAAAUGUUGCACUGGCUUGCAUAAUCUGACCAGUACCUCACAAGUUCAAAGGUAGUUGUUACCUCAUUUAGAAGGUCUUGUUUAUACAAAACCAUGUACAUUGUGAUGACAGCUGCUCUUAGCUGUGAAAAGCCGGUCCUUGGGUCUUUUUUCUGUCACAUGUCUGUCUUUCACUGGUAAUGCUUUUGGAAAGUUCCCAUGUGCCUGUUACUUCGAUCCUGAUUGCUCUACCAAAUUUUGUACUAGCAUUAUUACCUUGGAGCAAGGCACUCUGACAAGAUGGUCUCUUUCAAUGAUAGUAAACUGAAUGUCUUUCUUUUGCCCUUUCUUCUGAUACCAAAGUUAGACCAACUUUCGGCUUUCAAUUCAGAUCGGAAUCCUUCUACACUCCAAGUUUGACUUCAAAUGUUUUGGAAAGAUUCAUGCUGCCACCUGCUGGUUUAUUUAGUCUUUGUGUAUUAUUAUUUUAUUCUAAGUUUCUUUUUCUUUUGUUGAAACAGAGUUUCCUUAUUCUGUAGCCCACUUUCCAUCCCUACCUCAACCACCCCAACAGUAAGAUUAGUGAAUUGCAGGUACUUUGAUGGUCCAGAACCAAAGGAAUUUUGUGUCCUUUAUUAUUCAUCGGACGCCUAAAGAGAACUUAGAGUAGGGUGGGAGUUAUUUGUCAGCGUGAAUCAGCAGGACAACCUUUGAUUUUCUAAUACCUAGUGGUCUCUUUCAUGUGGGUAUUCAUUGUCUGUCAGUUAAGAAAAUUUGACAGCUCUCUAAGUUGACAGUUUCUCUGGGGUUAAGUACAGUACCACUGAGCUAUUAUUCCUUCAAGCUUGGCUUUGGCAUUUAGGCAUUAUAUUCCAUUACUGCUAGCGAGUAACGUUCUUCAGUUCAUUUUUUUCUCAAAGUUUGGAGCCAUCAGUUUCCUGGAAACUGGAUGAAAGACUAAAAUGACCAAGCGCAAAAUUCCAAGCGUAAAAUUCAAGACGUAAAAAUCCAAGACGCAAAAUUCCAAGCGUAAGUCCCGCAAAUAGGUCACAACCAGUACUCUGAUAAUUUAGGAAUCACGGAGCCAUUUUGUGAGACAUUCCCACCCUUUCCUGUCCUGGAUUGAGCUUACCACCUAAUUCAUGGGAACUUUUUCUUGUCUCCAAGACGCGGAGCGAUACAAGGCCGGAUGUCCAAGUAGAAGAUAUGUUGAAAAUUUGCAUAGACAUGGUGUGUGACCUAGUGUACAUUAUUUAACGUUUAUGGAUAGUGUGCAAAAGCUGUAAAAUAGGAUAAUCUUUCAUUACCAUAUAAAAUAAUGGAAAUCGCGAGUUCUGUCACUGAGCUUACGUACCACCAUCUUUAUUUAUGUUCAUUUUUAAGAAUAUAGUUGGAACUAAAGGUCCAAUAAGAUGUCAGACUUCCAAUCUUUGUGGCCACUCCUCUUCUGGUCUCUCCGCCUUCAGCGCGCCAGUCAGUUAAAGGCGAGCAACUGCUUGCUGCAGCCAUAUUUGCUCGUCUCCCGUGGAUGUGAGGUUUCCUCCGUGGUUUCUCUCCAUCUAAAGGGCUUUUGGGGAACAUUUUUAAUCCCCCUACCACCAUGCCUUAUGGUGUAUUUAAGAAAACAUAUCAAAAUUACAUAAGAUUUUUGAUGUUUUGAUAUGUUCUCGUAAGGUUUUCUUGACACGUCCUCCAUAUUUUUUGAUAUUUGUAAUAUUUUUGGUCUAUUUUUCAUUUCUAAGGAGUAUUUGUCUGUCGUGCAUUUUAGUUGACAGCUGUGUGUGGUGGACUUACCUUUCUUUCUUUAACUGUUUUUACAUUUUUUUUGCCCAUCGGGGCCACGGAUACCUGUGUGUCCUCCCAGCCAUUCCAUGUCCAGCUGGGCUUGGGAUACUUAACCUGCCUUUUAAUCCUUUUUUCUUCUUCUUACUUUUCUUCUUCUAAACUUGCCCAUCUGGGUUGUGGAUACCUGCUUUUAUUCUUUUUUUCUUCUUCUCCUUAGCCCAUCGGGGCCAUGGAUACCUGCUUUUUACCAAAAAACGCCGUAUUUCUCGGUCCAUCGGGACCUCGGAUACCUGCGUUUAGUUUUUUUCCCAUGCCCAACGGGGCCUCGGAUACCUGCUUUAAUUUUUUUUUCUUUUCCUUUUGCCCAUCGGGGCUGUGGAUACCUGCUUUAAUUUUUUUUUUCACGGCCCAUCGGGGCAUUUGGUGGAUGGAAAUAAUGGUUUUGUGAGUUAUUGAACUACCUGGAAUAUAUCUAUGCCUUUUUAUUUCCGUUUGCUGUUGGUGCUGAUCGUUUGGCUGUGUGAGUGAACCUAUGGCUUAGAAAAACGACUUGGCGAUUAAGCCUAGUGGGUGUUCAGGGCGUGGAGAACCCGUGUCCGCCAUCUUACGGUUUCUGCGUGACACAGAUAUUCUCGAGCCAGUUACGCAAGAAUUAGGACGCCGAGGAGCGCAGGGAACUGGAUAGAAGCCAACCAUGUGCGCUGCGCUAGCUAAAGGCUUUCUUUAUAUGUGCGGGUUUGGACUUGAUUUGUGGCAGCGUUUGGAGGAAUUGUGCUAUUCAGAAGUAGAAAGCCAAGGAGCGCUAAUGUUCGUGUGCGGUGUUGGGUGGAAGCCGCAGAGGACUAGGGGAUAGGGUUCCGCAUGUGCAUUUGGACCCCUGGCGGGGCCCCCCGUAGCUCUAAGGGCUGCUUAGAUGUCUACAAAAUGGCGGCUCGGGUACCGCACCCGAAGCUCGACAGCCCUACGUUGGCUCUAACAUGUAGCAAUGGAGAUAGGGCAUUUAGGUCAUACAAGAAAAGAUGGCGGCUCAAGCUCUUGCUGCAGUAUAAGGCGGAGGGCUUUGUGUUUCACAUGUCAGCUUCAUGGCUGAGUCAGUUUAGGGACAAAGUGGCACAUGCUCUUGAGUUUGUCUAAGAUGGCGGUUGUCAUGUGAUCAGCCCUCAAGGGGUUUCCUUUGGUACAUUUUUGGCGGGCUCUGGCCACUUGGCGGGAUUUGCCCAAGGGUAGAAUUGGUGCAUUAUGGUAGCGAGUGGUUGGUUCUACCUUGUGUCACUCGAAGCUGAGGAAAAGGCUAGUUGGAAGUGUUGAGUGACAUCUGAUCCGAUACGAGAGACUGAGGUUGCGGGUUCCCGAGGUCGAUGUGAAUCAUUGAAAUCUCAC
ensembl:lncRNA